rnacentral:rRNA from 1 species
GCUCAGAACGAACGCUGGCGGCGUGCUUAACACAUGCAAGUCGGAUGCGAACGGCGCUUUCGGGCGUUGAGUAGCAUGGCAGACGGGUGAGGAGCGCGUAUCUGACUGGACUCAGGCUGGGGGAUAGUCCCUCGAAAGGGGGUUGAAUACCGCAUGUGCUCGGUGCUGUGAGGGCAUCGAGGAAAGUUGGCCUCUGCGGGCACGCUGAUGGCCUGAGACAGGGAUGCGUCCUAUUAGCUAGCUGGUGGGGUAAGGGCCUACCAGGGCGACGAUGGGUAGCUGGUCUGAGAGGAUGAUCAGCCACACUGGGACUGCGACACGGCCCAGACUCCUACGGGAGGCAGCAGUGGGGAAUUUUGCGCAAUGGGCGCAAGCCUGACGCAGCAACGCCGCGUGCAUGACGACGCCUUUCGAGGUGUAAAGUGCUGUCGACCGGGACGAAGGGGCGAGGGUGAACAGCUUUCGCGCAUGACGGUACCGGUGGAGGAAGCCCCGGCUAACUCCGUGCCAGCAGCCGCGGUAAGACGGAGGGGGCGAGCGUUGUUCGGAAUUACUGGGCGUAAAGCGCGCGUAGGCGGUGCAGCAAGUGGUGCGUGAAAGCCCUCGGCUUAACCGGGGACGGGCGUGCCAAAACUGUUGGACUGGAGUGCCGGAGGGGGGAGGCGGAAUUCCUGGUGGAGCGGUGAAAUGCGUAGAGAUCAGGAAGAACGUCGGUGGCGAAGGCGGACUCCUGGACGGACACUUGACGCUGAGGUGCGA